UACGUAGGGUGCGAGCCGUUAAUCGGAAUACUGGGCGUAAAGCGUGCGCAGGCGGUUCGUUGUGUCGGCGGUGAAAGCCCCGGGCUCAACCUGGGAAUGGCCGUUGAAACUGGCGAACUGGAGUGUGGCAGAGGGGGGUGGAAUUCCGCGUGUAGCAGUGAAAUGCGUAGAGAUGCGGAGGAACACCGAUGGCGAAGGCAGCCCCUGGGCUGACACUGACGCUCAGGCACGAAAGCGUGGGGAGCAAACAGG
rnacentral:rRNA from 1 species